ACCGGUUGAUCCUGCCGGACCUGACUGCUAUGGGGAUUGGAUUAAGCUAUGCGAGUGGAGCGGACUUGGCUAUGAAAGUCCGCCGCAUACGGCUCAGUAACGCGUAGUCAACUUACCCUUCGGAUGAGAAUACCCCCGGGAAACUGGGGCUAAAUCUCAAUAAGUAUCCAACGCUGAAACGCAUGGAUACAAAAACAGGGCACUAUCAUGCAUGUGUCACUGCCGAAGGAUAGGACUGCGUCCUAUCAGCUUGUAGGUAGUGUAAAGGACUACCUAGGCGAUAACGGGUACCGGCGAUGUAAGUCGGAGCCGGGAGAAGGACACUUAGACAAGGGUCCUGGCACUACGGUGCGCAGCAAGCGCGAAACCUCUUCAAUACGCGAAAGCGUGAAAGGGCAAUCCCCAGUGCCUACCUAUAAAGUGGGCUUUUCAAUACUGUAAGUAAGUGUUGGAAUAAGGCGAGGGCAAGGCUGGUGCCAGCCGCCGCGGUAAAACCAGCUCGUCAAGUGGUCAGGAUAAUUAUUGAGGCUAAAGCGUCCGUAGAUUUUCUAGCAAACCCCUGGUUAAAUCCACCUGCUCAACAGGUGGGCCGCUAGGGGGACUACUAGAAUCGGAGACGGGAGAGGUAGAGGGUACUACGCGGGAAGGGGUGGAAUCCUAUAAUCCGCGUGGGACCACCAGUGGCGAAGGCGCUCUACUAGAACGUGCUCGACAUUGAGGGACGAAACCUGAGGGAGAGGACCGGAUUAGAUACCCGGGUAUUCUCAGGCGUAAACGAUGCCGGUUAGGUGUUGACCCGACCAAGAGUCGCGUCAGUGCCGUAGCGAAGGCGUUAAACCGGCCCCUUGGGAAGUACGGCCGCAAGGCUGAAACUUAAAGGAAUUGGCGGGGGAGUACCACAAGGCGUGAAGCCUGCGGUUUAAUUGGACCCAACGCCGAGAAACUCACCAGGGGCGACAGCAGUUUGAAGGUCAAGCUAAUGACUUUACCUGACGCGCUGAGAGCUGGUGCAUGGCCGUCGACAGCUCGUGCCAUGAGGUGUCUGCUUAAGUGCAGCAACGAGCGAGACCCCCGCCUUCAGUUGCCACCAAUUGGCGAAAUCCUAUUGAGCACACUGAAGGGACCGCUAGCGAUAAGCUGGAGGAAGGUAGGGGCAACGGCAGGUCAGUAUGCCGCGAAUCUCCUGGGCUACACGCGGGCUGCAAUGGUCGAGACAAAGGGCUCCUACUCCGAAAGGAGACGGUAAUCCCCAAACUCGAUCUCGGUUGGGAUUGAGGACUGUAACUCGUUCUCAUGAACCUGGAAUGCCUAGUAACUGCGUUUCAACAAAGCGCGGUGAAUACGUCCCUGCUCCUUGCACACACCGCCCGUCGCUCCACGAGAGUUGGCUUUGGGCGAGAAGCGGUCCUUUGGGUCGUUUCGAACCUUGGGUCGAUGAUCGGGGAGAAGUCGUAACAAGGUA
rnacentral:rRNA from 1 species